UCUGUUGUAAUUCCUUUCCCAAUACAUUUAUGUUUCCACUCUUAUGAAUUUGUCUUUUUGCUGUCACGGUUUGAUUGAGAGUAAACCAUCUGGUAGAGAGAAAAUACCAGAAGGUCGAAAGAUACAGUGGAAAGCGCAAUAUUUGGCAGAAGUUUGCAACGCAGUGAAAUUGAGACCAAAUAAAGAAGAAUUCUAUUAUAUUGGACCACUUGUAACAAACAACGUAAGUGGGCUGCUGGAAUGUAUCUCGCUUAAAUUUCUCGGCUGCGCUCGUCGCUACGUUGCUGCAAUAAAAAAAACAUCUGGGAUACACACAGCAACGCAUCGCGACGCAGUGACAACCGGUGACAACAAAUCAAACUUGAAACUCAUCUAUUGGACUCGCACCAUUAUUAUAUUCACACGUCAUUAUAUUCACUUGAAACUAACAUAAAACAAAAAAAAAAUUUAG